rnacentral:rRNA from 1 species
GGUUGAUGAAUUCAAAAGGAUUUUUCGCCCAUAGGGAUGGGACUGGCGGCCCUAUCAGCCUUGUUGGGUGAGGGAAAUGGCCCCCCAAGGCAAAUUACCAGGUACGGGCUUUGAGAGGGGGAAGCCCGGAGAUGGGUACUUAGACAAGGGACCCAGGCCUUAUGGGGCGCAGCAGCCGAGAAAACUUUGCAAUGUGCGAAAGCACGACAAGGUUAAUUCCGAGUGAUUUCUGCUAAAGGGAAUCUUUUACCAGUUCUAAAAAUACUGGCGAUAAAGGGGUGGGCAAGUUCUGGUGUCAGCCGCCGCGGUAAAACCAGCACCUCAAGUGGUCAGGAGGAUUAUUGGCCUAAAAGCAUCCCGUAGCCGGCUCUGUAAGUUUUCGGUUAAAUCUAUAUGCUCAACGUAUAGGCUGCCGAAAAUACUGCACAGCUAGGGAAUGGGAGAGGUAGACGGUACUCGGUAGGAAGGGGUAAAAUCCUCUGAUCUAUCGAUGACCACCUGUGGCGAAGGCGGUCUACCAGAACAUGUUCGACGGUGAGGGAUGAAAGCUGGGGGAGCAAACCGGAUUAGAUACCCGGGUAGUCCCAGCUGUAAACGAUGCAGACUAGAUAAUGCACUGGCACAUAGCCAGUGCAGUGUCUCAGGGAAGCCGUUAAGUCUGCCGCCUGGGAAGUACGUACGCAAGUAUGAAACUUAAAGGAAUUGGCGGGGGAGCACCACAAGGGGUGAAGCCUGCGGUUCAAUUGGAGUCAACGCCAGAAAUCUUACCCGGAGAGACAGCAGAAUGAAGGUCAGGCUGAAGACCUUACCAGACAAGCUGAGAGGUGGUGCAUGGCCGUCGUCAGCUCGUGCCGUGAGAUGUCCUGUAAGUGGAUCCCCCCCGUACCCA